rnacentral:rRNA from 1 species
AAAUCAASGAGKGCGAUGCAUCUUKCAGCUUAGAUAAAAAGCCAAUGCAUGCUUUUACAGUAUGGAAAUUGGUGAUUUAUAAUAACUUAGCAAAUCGCAAAGUGAAAACAGGCGAUAAAUCAUUCAAGUUUCUGACCUAUCAGCUUUCGACGGUAUGGUAUUGGCUUACCGUGGCAGUGACGGUUAACGGGGGAUUAGGGUUCGAUUCCGGAGAGGGAGCCUGAGAAACGGCUACCACAUCUAAGGAAGGCAGCAGGCGCGCAAAUUACCCAAUUCUAACAGUUUGAGAGAGGUAGUAACAAGAAAUAACAAUACAAGGCAAUUAAAAUGCUUUGUAAUUGGAAUGAUAGAAAUUUAAACCCUUUUUAAAGUAUCAAUUGGAGGGCAAGUCUGGUGCCAGCAGCCGCGGUAAUUCCAGCUCCAAUAGCGUAUAUUAAAAUUGUUGCAGUUAAAAAGCUCGUAGUUGAAAUUCUGCUAAAAGUAACCGGUCUGCUUUUAAUAAAAGUGGUAUCUUGGUGUGUAUUUAGCAAUGAUGUCCUUUGAAGUGUUUUUUACUUUAUUGUAAUAAAGCAUAUUCAGGACUUUUACUUUGAGAAAAYUAGAGUGUUUCAAGC